rnacentral:lncRNA from 1 species
CAGUUGCCUCCUCCUCAUGUGACAAGUGUGACGGUUUGAGCCAGGCCUCAUCCUCAUUCACAUGUAGGGUGGCUGACCUCUGGGACCAACCAUCCAGAGAAGUGGAACUACUGAGCUCUCGUGUCAGGAAGUGAUGAUGGGGUAAAUCCCUUCUGCUGCACGCCUGACAUUUCCCAAGACAUGAGUCACAGCUGAAGCGUUCUUGAGGCGUCUCACAUUUACCACGGGAAGUUGUACCUGCUGCGCAGUGGGGCAGGGAGGACACGGGUGCCAACUGGGCCAAGCCGGUCUGCGGAAAAACAGGGGCUCUCGAAGCUGUUGCUUGCAGGACUGGUGCUUUACUCCAUGAUAACUUUAUUUCUGGAGCAGCAAUAGGACAAUGACUAAUUCUCUAGGUAAUCUAGAAAUAAGUUUUCUUUU